rnacentral:lncRNA from 1 species
GAACUCACUCGCAAAGGAAACUACUGGAAUAACUUGUGAUGUACAAGAAAAGCUAUAAAUCUGCAUCAGCAAAUCAGGAUUAGCUUUGUAAAACUAGGAAAUCAAAUAAGGAUCAAAUCACCAGUAUUAGUAAAUAACGGAGUAGGAAUAAUCAAAGUACGAGAAGAUCAAUGAUUAGCGAAAUCAUUGAAGAAUAAAAGAUGCCAGAAGAUCUGGGUAGUGAGCGUUUUUGGAAGAUCCAACAAUCAAGGAGAAAUAUCUUUAAAUAAAUCGUCUGCCGAAGGAAAAGAAAUCAAGAGAAUAAAUGGCUCAUUCCUUAUUCUUGGAAAGAAUCAUUCUUUCCAAGGAUCAAAAUCCUUGGGUUGACAAGCUUCCACAGUUCAUCAUAGUAUAUAUUCUCCUUGUAAAAUCCUUCUUAGACAUACUUUGAUCAAACCAAAUCACUCUCUUUAUUCUACUGCAAACAAGCAUAGUAGCUUACAUUAAUUUGUUGUGUAACAAGUCAG